GAUGAACGCUGGCGGCGUGCCUAACACAUGCAAGUCGAACGAAGCACCUUACCUGAUUCUUCGGAUGAAAGUUUGGUGACUGAGUGGCGGACGGGUGAGUAACGCGUGGGUAACCUGCCCUGUACAGGGGGAUAACAGCUGGAAACGGCUGCUAAUACCGCAUAAGCGCACGAGGAGACAUCUCCUUGUGUGAAAAACUCCGGUGGUACAGGAUGGGCCCGCGUCUGAUUAGCUGGUUGGCAGGGUAACGGCCUACCAAGGCAACGAUCAGUAGCCGGUCUGAGAGGAUGAACGGCCACAUUGGAACUGAGACACGGUCCAAACUCCUACGGGUGGCAGCAGUGGGGAAUAUUGCACAAUGGGGGAAACCCUGAUGCAGCAACGCCGCGUGAGUGAAGAAGUAUUUCGGUAUGUAAAGCUCUAUCAGCAGGGAAGAUAA
rnacentral:rRNA from 1 species